UACGUAGGGUGCGAGCGUUGUCCGGAAUUAUUGGGCGUAAAGGGCGCGUAGGCGGCCUGCUAAGUCGAACGUGAAAUCCCCGGGCUCAACCCGGGAACUGCGUCCGAUACUGGCAGGCUUGAAUCCGGGAGAGGGAUGCGGAAUUCCAGGUGUAGCGGUGAAAUGCGUAGAUAUCUGGAGGAACACCGGUGGCGAAGGCGGCAUCCUGGACCGGCAUUGACGCUGAGGCGCGAAAGCCAGGGGAGCAAACGGG
rnacentral:rRNA from 1 species